UCCAUCCUAGUCAGCGUCCUUAUUUCCGCCCGUGUUGUUGCACCGAAAUCCGUUCAGACGUAUAAACUGUCGCCCCUCGUAUUUUGAAUAUUAUCGUGUCGGAUUCGUUCUGUAAUAUUGCACUCGAAUAUUCAAACAAAAGAGUGAAUUUUUGAAAGAAAAAAAAGCGCAGGAGUUAUUUGCUACAGAUCGUCGUCCAGAGGCCUUGAAUGGCGUGUUUUUCCAUCUCGUU